rnacentral:rRNA from 1 species
GACGAACGCUGGCGGCGUGCUUAACACAUGCAAGUCGAACGCUGAAGCUCAGCUUUUGUUGGGUGGAUGAGUGGCGAACGGGUGAGUAACACGUGAGUAACCUGCCCUCUUCUUUGGGAUAACGCCCGGAAACGGGUGCUAAUACUGGAUAUUCACUGAUCUUCGCAUGGGGGUUGGUGGAAAGGUUUGUUCUGGUGGGGGAUGGGCUCGCGGCCUAUCAGCUUGUUGGUGGGGUGAUGGCCUACCAAGGCUUUGACGGGUAGCCGGCCUGAGAGGGUGACCGGUCACAUUGGGACUGAGAUACGGCCCAGACUCCUACGGGAGGCAGCAGUGGGGAAUAUUGCACAAUGGGCGAAAGCCUGAUGCAGCGACGCCGCGUGAGGGAUGGAGGCCUUCGGGUUGUAAACCUCUUUCGCUCAUGGUCAAGCCGCGACGUGGGUUGUGGUGAGGGUAGUGGGUAAAGAAGCGCCGGCUAACUACGUG